UCUGAAAAGGCAGACAGUUGUAGUAAAAGAAACAAGACUUGGAUAAUGAACUACAAUACAAGCAAGGAUGUGAUUAGAAUGAGAAAGGGAACUACAAACCAAGUGCCUUAGGAAUUCAAAUGAGAGAGAUUAAGACAAAGACAAUAAGGAAAGCUUCAUGGAUUAGUUGACAUCUGAUGCGGCCUUCCCGCCAGAUAUAUUUGGGGUAUGCAGAAAACCAAAAAAGGCCGUUCUACAGAAAGGAAACAUCAGGGACGAAACUGUGGAGUACUGGCCAGAGUGGGCCACGUCUUAGCGCAGAACUGAAAGAAUUAACAUUGACGAAACAAGGUCAAUAAGAUGGCCAGACUGGACGCCUGAGUCCAGGGUUGCCUGGGCAGCCUCUGUCGCCACUCUUCUCAACACAUGUAUUUUUCAUGUACUUGUCCCCUCCACCACUCACCCCCCAAGAGUCUGAGGGCUGCUGGAGGGCAAGCCUCCAGCUUCUUUAUCUUUGUGUCCUAAGCUUCUGGCUGAUCACAGAUCAAAUGACAGAAGUGCUGAAGAAAUACUUUGGACCAAUGCAAGGAAAAGGUGAAAUCCUAUACCCCAAAUCACAGCCUUUUGCCAGUUGGCCAAUGUCACAGCAAAUUCAGUGCCUUGGCCAAGUGCUUGGCACUUCUAAGUGUCUGAGAGUGGCAGGUCCCUGGGAAGAACUGGUGCUUCUAUCUAAGGAAAAGCACCACAUAGCCAACGAGAACAUUUAG
rnacentral:lncRNA from 1 species